CCUACGGGAGGCAGCAGUGAGGAAUAUUGGACAAUGGGCGCAAGCCUGAUCCAGCCAUGCCGCGUGCAGGAUGACGGUCCUAUGGAUUGUAAACUGCUUUUAUACGAGAAGAAACACUCCGACGUGUCGGAGCUUGACGGUAUCGUAAGAAUAAGGAUCGGCUAACUCCGUGCCAGCAGCCGCGGUAAUACGGAGGAUCCAAGCGUUAUCCGGAAUCAUUGGGUUUAAAGGGUCCGUAGGCGGUUUAAUAAGUCAGUGGUGAAAGCCCAUCGCUCAACGGUGGAACGGCCAUUGAUACUGUUAAACUUGAAUUAUUAGGAAGUAACUAGAAUAUGUAGUGUAGCGGUGAAAUGCUUAGAGAUUACAUGGAAUACCAAUUGCGAAGGCAGGUUACUACUAAUUGAUUGACGCUGAUGGACGAAAGCGUGGGUAGCGAACAGGAUUAGAUACCCUGGUAGUCCACGCCGUAAACGAUGGAUACUAGCUGUUGGGAGCAAUCUCAGUGGCUAAGCGAAAGUGAUAAGUAUCCCACCUGGGGAGUAACGUUCGCAAGAAUGAAACUUCAAAUUGAUUGNGGNGNGNGAGNGCGAGACGACGACGAGGGAGGAGG
rnacentral:rRNA from 1 species